UGAUCCCAUACCUCAUCCAUAACGGAUAAAAGCGGGAUCCCAUCCAACCCUUCACAACCUUCCCACAAAAUCGCACACAGUCACACACUACAUAUGGCAACUACUUCAGUGACAACGUUAAUGUCCUCUAUUUUCUCAACCUCAGUUGCAUCAAAUCCGAAAAUCCCAGCACCCCUUUUGCAGUCAUCUUCUUGCAUGCAAUCCCAUCAAGAAUUUCCCCAGCUAAGUCUCUCAAGAAGAAACCUGUUCAAUGGACUUGCUAUAGUGCCAUUAUUACUAACAUCACCAGCUAAAGCUCGUGAAGUUGAAGUGGGAUCUUACCUCCCUCCUUCCCCAGCUGACCCUUCUUUUGUUGUCUUUGAAGCUACUCCCAAGGACACUCCUGCUCUUCGUGCAGGAAAUGUGCAGCCAUACAAGUUCAUUCUUCCACCAACUUGGAAACAGCUCCGCGUAGCAAACAUUUUGUCAGGCAAUUACUGCCAACCAAAGUGCGCAGAACCCUGGGUAGAGGUGAAGUUUGAAGAUGAAAAACAAGGAAAGAUUCAGGUGGUGGCUUCUCCUUUAAUACGCCUGACCAACAAACCUAAUGCAACAAUUGAAGACAUUGGAAGUCCAGAAAAGGUCAUUGCUUCUCUGGGCCCUUUUGUUACUGGAAACACCUUUGAUCCAGAUGAACUCCUUGAAACUUCUGUUGAGAAGCGUGGUGAUCAAAUGGAACUGCAUUUAUAGGGCUGAGCUAAAUACAGAAUGAAACAGGCAAAAGAGAACAUCGGGAAGUCUUUUAUAUUCUCUUCUGAAGAGGAACUGCGCCAUAAGGCUGAGCCAAAUACAAAAUAAAACAAGCAGAAGAGAAGUCAGCAACAAAAAACAUUAAGUAUAAACUGUACAUGAAGAGAACCAUUUGGUUCUGAAUUUGCAAUCAGCGAAGUACUAUAAGUAUGUUCUCGAGACUCCAUACGCUCUGACAGGAUCGCAUAAUCUUGCAAAGGCAACAGCCAAAGGUAACACUGUGGUCCUCUUCGUCGCCAGUGCCGAUGACAAGCAAUGGCCGUCAUCCAGGACAACAUUGCAAGCGAUCCUGGAUUCCUUCGAAGUGUAAUUUCUUACAGAAUUCUUAGUCAAGUUCUCUUUUACUCUUUUGACCUGAUAUGGAGUUAAAAUGUGCGCCUGUUGAACCAAAAUGUUCUGGUUUACAUGUCCUAUACCUCCCUAUGUUCUUUGCCUGCAUUAACACAACGCAGGAAAGCCAUGUCGAAGUUUGAAAAGCGUUUCUGAUGUAAUGAGCCCUGAAGGAUCAAUAAUGUUCCUUUUGUACUUCACGACCAACCCCAAGAAGUGGAAGGCGGAGCAAUUACAAACGUCUGGAAAUUAAGUGAUAAUUGUCAUUACAAACCGUUCACACUAA